ACCAGACAAAUGAGUAAGUGGAGGCUGAGUUGUAGGCAUUGUUUUGUGCCCCAAUAAUGGGCUGCACAGGAAAGGAAGGGCCACCAUUUUUGUAAUUCAAUGGCUACAAGUGGGUGCCUUUUUGUGAUUCCCCCUAAUGCAUGCUCUGUGGGAGCUGAGGCUCUGGCUCUCUCUCUCUCUGCUGCGGUCCCCUUCACCCCUGCUUAUUUCACAGUGGCUCCAGGCUAUGCCCUGCCUGCAGCUUACUUGGCUACAUAAAAAGCACAUCCACACCCUUGCCCUGACAUAGGGAUUGGCUGUUUACUCCUAGCACAGUCCUCUUUCUCUUUGCUCUCCCGUCAGGCAUGUUGUUGCUGUCAUCACCUCUCACCAUGAGAUUGCUCAGGGCCAUUCUAGACACCAAACCCUUGCAGAAGACACGUGUCAAACCCUGUAUAUGAUUUGAGCAGUCUUUCUCAUGUGGCUGGAGGGAAAGGAGAGGUACCUCAUUCCUCUCCCUUCCACAAGGAGGGGAAACAGGAUUGCAGGGAAGCGAUAUUCAGCAGGAGAGUACCUGGACUUAUUUGCCUCUGAGCAUGCUGGGUGGAGAGGCAUGAUGAAAGUGGAGACCUCUUUGGUGUGCACUAAGUAGGUUUAUAAGCAAUGUUCAGAGAAUCUUCCACUCACAGUAAAAAAAAUUCUCACCUUUUUCUCAUUUCUCAAAAUGGUUUCUAAUUCAGUCUUAAGAGCCAGACACUCUUCUUGGUUUGGGUUUUGUACUGUCUUAUGUGUUGAUCAAUUAGGUGAGGCCUCAAGGGUAGACUGAGUGCUCAGGAACACAAAAUCUGUUAUACUUUUAGGUCCUAGAGACAGCAGACACAGCAGGCCACACAGGACCACAUGGGGAAGACACCAGGGUGGCCAGGAGGCUGAAGACAGGAGCAUGCCUUUGAUAUACAAACGAACCAGCACAGAGCUGCAUCUCUAUCUCUCCCUACGCUCCAGGAGACCAUACUCCUCUCCUUAAUCAUCCCAGGGCCAGGUACAAGACAACUAGAAACCGUGUCUAGAGUCAGAGCCCACUGGAAUGAUUCAAACUGGCUAGUCCUAAGCUGUUCACCCUGCCUUGCCUUUCCCAUGGAAACCCAGUAAAGGCCAUGGCCUAGGUGUCCCCCUUGCCUGUCUUCUGCCUCCUGACCACCCUGAUGUCUUUCCCAUGUGGAGUGGCAUGGCAUGCCUGCUGUCUCCAGAACCUGUAUGUAUCAUAAACUUUAUUUUCAUGAGUCUGUCCUGGGUCUCUUCUUGUGGUCACACCUGACUGACCACAUCAUAAAAGAAUACAAAACAGCUUGCCAGGUCCUUAGGCAGGCAUGAUUGAGUGAGAAGGAUGUAGUCCUGGGCCUCAGUGACUUUAUUUACUUGUGGCCUUAGACAAAUUAUUGAACUUCUCUUGGUCUCAAUUUCCUCAUCUAUAAAAAUGACCCUUGCAGUGUACAAGUCAGAAUAAACUAGACUACGCUGCUGUAAUAGAUAAACCCCAAAUCUUAGCCACCUGUAGCAGUAAAGGUUUCCUUC
rnacentral:lncRNA from 1 species